UACGUAGGGUGCAAGCGUUGUCCGGAAUUAUUGGGCGUAAAGAGCUCGUAGGCGGUCUGUCGCGUCGGCUGUGAAAUCCCGAGGCUCAACCUCGGGUCUGCAGUCGAUACGGGCAAACUAGAGUAUUGCAGGGGAGACUGGAAUUCCUGGUGUAGCGGUGAAAUGCGCAGAUAUCAGGAGGAACACCGGUGGCGAAGGCGGGUCUCUGGGCCAUUACUGACGCUGAGGAGCGAAAGCGUGGGGAGCGAACAGG
rnacentral:rRNA from 1 species